rnacentral:rRNA from 1 species
GACGAACGCUGGCGGCGUGCUUAACACAUGCAAGUCGAACGGAAAGGCCCUGCUUUUGUGGGGUGCUCGAGUGGCGAACGGGUGAGUAACACGUGAGUAACCUGCCCUUGACUUUGGGAUAACUUCAGGAAACUGGGGCUAAUACCGGAUAGGAGCUCCUGCUGCAUGGUGGGGGUUGGAAAGUUUCGGCGGUUGGGGAUGGACUCGCGGCUUAUCAGCUUGUUGGUGGGGUAGUGGCUUACCAAGGCUUUGACGGGUAGCCGGCCUGAGAGGGUGACCGGCCCCAUUGGGACUGAGGUACGGCCCAGACUCCUACGGGAGGCAGCGGUGGGGAAUAUUGCACAAUGGGCGGAAGCCUGAUGCAGCAACGCCGCGUGCGGGAUGACGGCCUUCGGGUUGUAAACCGCUUUCGCCUGUGACGAAGCGUGAGUGACGGUAAUGGGUAAAGAAGCACCGGCUAACUACGUG